AUAAGAAUAGUUAAAAAUAUACAUAACAUUAAAUUUGCACUUUAAUAUUGAGGGGGCUCCUCUUCUUAUU
rnacentral:tRNA from 1 species